rnacentral:rRNA from 1 species
AUUGAACGCUAGCGGCAGGCCUAACACAUGCAAGUCGGACGGUAGCACAGGGGAGCUUGCUCCUCGGGUGACGAGUGGCGGACGGGUGAGUAAUGUCUGGGGAUCUGCCCGAUAGAGGGGGAUAACCACUGGAAACGGUGGCUAAUACCGCAUAAUGUCGCAAGACCAAAGAGGGGGACCUUCGGGCCUCUCACUAUCGGACGAACCCAGAUGGGAUUAGGUAGUAGGCGGGGUAGCGGCCCACCUAGGCGACGAUCCCUAGCUGGUCUGAGAGGAGGGCCAGCCACCCUGGAACUGAGACAGGGUCCAGAAUCCAACGGGGGGCAGCAGUGGGGAAUAUUGCACAAUGGGCGCAAGCCUGAUGCGGCCAUGCCGCGUGUAUGAAGAAGGCCUUCGGGUUGUAAAGUACUUUCAGCGGGGAGGAAGGCGAUGUGGUUAAUAACCGCGUCGAUUGACGUUACCCGCAGAAGAAGCACCGGCUAACUCCGUGCCAGCCGCCCGCCGUAA